AGUGGCGAACGGGUGAGUAACACGUGAGUAACCUGCCCCCUUCUUUGGGAUAACGCCCGGAAACGGGUGCUAAUACUGGAUAUUCACUGAUCUUCGCAUGGGGGUUGGUGGAAAGGUUUUUUCUGGUGGGGGAUGGGCUCGCGGCCUAUCAGCUUGUUGGUGGGGUGAUGGCCUACCAAGGCUUUGACGGGUAGCCGGCCUGAGAGGGUGACCGGUCACAUUGGGACUGAGAUACGGCCCAGACUCCUACGGGAGGCAGCAGUGGGGAAUAUUGCACAAUGGGCGAAAGCCUGAUGCAGCGACGCCGCGUGAGGGAUGACGGCCUUCGGGUUGUAAACCUCUUUCGCUCAUGGUCAAGCCGCAGCUUUGGGUUGUGGUGAGGGUAGUGGGUAAAGAAGCGCCGGCUAACUACGUGCCAGCAGCCGCGGUAAUACGUAGGGCGCGAGCGUUGUCCGGAAUUAUUGGGCGUAAAGGGCUUGUAGGCGGUUGGUCGCGUCUGCCGUGAAAUCCUCUGGCUUAACUGGGGGCGUGCGGUGGGUACGGGCUGACUUGAGUGCGGUAGGGGAGACUGGAACUCCUGGUGUAGCGGUGGAAUGCGCAGAUAUCAGGAAGAACACCGGUGGCGAAGGCGGGUCUCUGGGCCGUUACUGACGCUGAGGAGCGAAAGCGUGGGGAGCGAACAGGAUUAGAUACCCUGGUAGUCCACGCUGUAAACGUUGGGCACUAGG
rnacentral:rRNA from 1 species